CUCUCGGCAAUGGAUAUCUCGGCUCUUGCAUCGAUGAAGAACGUAGUGAAAUGCGAUACUUGGUGUGAAUUGCAGAAUCUCGUGAACCAUUGAGUCUUUGAACGCAAGUUGUGCCCGGAGCCUUGUGGCCGAGGGCACGCCUGCUUGGGCGUCAUGGC
rnacentral:rRNA from 1 species